CCUGCCCAGCAGAGGACCGGCGAAC
rnacentral:rRNA from 1 species